AGAAGGUGAGGGGAAGCAUGCGGAGCAGCUGCUACAGACAUCAACCAGCGUCGGGGAGGGAUAAGUUGGUCGUGUGGUGCGUCGGAUAUAUUCUGGAAUUGGCUAGGUGCUUGUACGGACGCAGAAUCGAAUCGAUGGCGAGCUAAGACACUGGCUUGGAGCCGAGCAGUCCCAGUUAAGAGCUCUCCUGGUCUGGUAGGAGGCUCUGGCAGCCUUGUUCCCCCCUCACCUUCUCUUACACCCACACACACACACACACACACACACACACACACACGCACUCGCACUUUGAGGCUUCUAGCCCAUGGACAGUUGACAUAUUGGACUAUACCUUUUGCGGCGCACAUGCUGGACUGUUUUGAGCACCUCAUCCUCUAUGAAUUCUGUGCCUUUGCGAUACACAACAUCGUGUGUGGAACUGCUGCCAUAUUGGCUACAACUGAGACUGGUUUUGAUUUGAAUGUUGUUGAUGCAUCAGACGUGUCAAGUGCACUUUUCUAUUUAAUUCAUGUACUCUGCAGACUGUAAAUAUUGGUCACUGUAUGUAUUGUCACGCAUUAAUAUAUGGUACCAACCGCAUCUGAAGUGCUAUUUGUUGUGUUUUAUUGUACCACUACCUCUAAGAAUCGAACCUGUCUUCUGUAGACCUAGGCCCAAAAGCUAGCUUAAUACUAAUAUAAUAAUCAUACCAUAUCACCAUAAUUUAGCCUGUGUACUUGCUACAUUUAGAAAUGUAUAUAUCCUUGAGAGUAAUUUAACAGAGCUGGAAAUCUUUGAAAAUUCAUCUAUAAUAAUUGUUUGAUCUUGCGUGUUAAAUGUACUGUUGAUUUUGGGGAGAAUGGUGGACUUAAGCUGUAAGUAAAAGGAAAAUUGAUGAUUUUGGAAUCCUGUACAAUAUGGUGGAGAUGUGUGAUACCUUUGUGUUUCCAUGACGUGAAGUUUAAUGGUUUCCUGUUUAUUGUAAAAUCUGGGUUGUUCCAUAUUGGUGAGCGAGUGAAUGGUGCAACCGUGGAGCCUUUGAUAGGAAAUAUUUUCCACCAAGCUGUCAGAGCUGAGGCUAUGGAAAUAUUCUGAAAACAAGUGUCAUUUUUAAUUGUUUGGCUGAUGAAUGGGAGCUCUGAAAGGUUUAUAUUCUUGCUUUAUAUUCUUCUAUAGUGCCUGUUCGGUUUCUAACCAGUGAGAAUCAUGAUGUGAAGAGGUGAGCCAUUGUUUUAAGUAUUUUAACUGACUUGACAAGUGAUAUAAUUCAAAGUUGGGUGCAUCUAGUCCUCCUUGAAACUUGGGUUUUUGUAGUGUUGACAGUUUUAUACAAGGUGUUUUAUUUUUCCAGUAGAAUUGAGAUAUUGCUGUAUUGAGGGAAUUAAGCCAGGAUAAAUUUGGAAUUGAAGGGAUCAUGGUGAAUAGGUAAUUAAUUUUAGGGAGGACUGACAUUUUUAUUGUUGAGAUUCUUUCUGACAGUGAGAUUGGUAGAUUUGUCCAGCAACUGAGGUCAUUUUGUAUUGAUUUGAGUAAUGGUGUGUAAUUUAGAUUGAACAGCUCUGACAGCUUGGGGGAUAUGUGGAUUCCUAAAUAUUUAAUAUUUCCUAUGGGAAGGUGAAACUGUGAGGUGAAGGCUGCCACAUCCCUUUGGUCCAUGCAGAGGGGUAGAAUGGUAGAUUUUGAUAAGUUGAUGGAGUAGCUGGAUACAGAUGAGAAUGCUUUAAUGACAGACAUUCUUGUAGUGAUGAGUAGGGUUCCUGGAGGAGGAUCAACACAUCGUCUGCAUAGAGGAUUGUUUUGUGUUCCGUGGAUAUUGAUCUGAUACCUUUUUGAUGUUAUUGUUUUGUCGUAUGCUAGCUGCAAGUGGCUCCAAGAAAAUUGCAAAAAGUGACGGAGAGAGUGGACAUCUUUGUCUAGUGCCGUUGUGAAGCGUGAAUUGUUGUGAAGUUAACCCAUUAGUUGUGAUAGUGGCUGUCAGUGAAGUCUAUAGUGCCUUAAUCCAGUUAAUGAAUGACUCUCAGAAUCCAAAUUUUUGUAAUGUUGCGAAUAGGAAGGACCAGUUGACUCUAUCAAAUGCUUUUUGUGCGUCUAAUGAGAGGAUUAUGGUUUCGGUUUUCUUUUUGUUUGAGAGCUGCAUUAGGUUAAAUAAUUUCCGUGUGUUCUAAGAUGACUGCCUUCCUUUGAUAAAUCCGGUUUGGUCUGGAUGUAUUAUGAAGGGAAUGACUUUUUCAAUUCUAUUUCACAGUGCCUUGCUUAUGAUUUUAAUGUCUGUUAAUUAGUGAGAGAGGUCGGUAACUAGAUAGGUGAGUAGGAUCUUUGCCAGGUUUUAAAAGCAGGGUAAUUACGGCUGUGUUUAUCGUUGGAGGUAUACUGUUGGUUAUGAGGAAUUCAUCAAUCAUUCUGAGAAAAAGGGGUGAGAUGAUGGACCAGAAAUGUUUAUAGAACUCAGCAGGGAAGCCAUCAGGACCGCAUGCUCUAUUAUUUUCCAUUUUAUUGAGUGCGUUAUGAAAUUCAGCUGGGGUUAAUGGUUGUUCAAGUAAAUUAGUUUGUUCUGUUGUUAAAUGGGGUACGUUAAUAUUAUUGAGUGUAGUGGUAUGAGAUACCACUGCCACACUGAACGCAAGUCGUGGCUUCACCACGCCCUUUCUGGGCUAUUAGCCUAUCACCGUUCAGGCGAAGGGGAUAAAGGAAGGCCGUGUCCCUCCUCCUGACCUCUCGCUUCCUGCCUCUUUACCCCGCCCACUUCCAGGUCGUUGUACUUGCCGCUCGCUGCAGAAUACAGGUAUGCACACCUUAGCACUGUAUUUACAUUCGGCUGCAUGUUAUGUAUCUGAAACCGUAACCUUUUUAUUAGGUCUGGCGUCUCACCUGCAGUCGAGGCGAUUAUCCAGGGUGGUCUAUCGCUGCCGACUGGAGCAUAGCCUGCUGCACGUGGGAUACGCGUUGGCUGCCUUCCCCUGCCGCAGUGACUCUCUUCACCCCUCUCCCUCUUUGGGCGGACGCCGGUUCUACCCAGCUGGCUACCAGAACACACGGACGCUAAGCUAAGUAGGAGCAUUGCUGUUUAAUUAUGGUCUUUUAGCCACGGUUACUGCUACCGCUGCUACUACGCUUAGCCACGGCUACUGCUGCCGCUACUGCCGCUGCUACUACUCUUAGCCACGGCUACUGCUGCCGCUGCUACCACUGCUACUACUGUUACUGCGGCUACUGCUGCUUCGCCGGCUUGGACUGGGCUUCCUGUCGGCUGUGUGUGUGUCAACCUGCUUCCUGCUGUUGGCUUGCUUUCCUGCUUCUGCGAGUGUGGUGCUGCUGGAUGUGUGUGGCUGCCGCUCGUGCUGACCGGGCUCCCGAUCAGUGGGACGCCACAAGCUCCAUCAGAACUUUCAGCCACCCAUCUGGACUGGGCUGUGUGUGUGUGCGUGUGUAUGUGUGAGUGUUAAUCAAGGUUUGGCUUAAUUGUUUUAUUUUCUUAUUUAAUUAUUGGUCGAUUCUCCUGAAUUUCUUAGUUUAGUUCCUUGUUUUGUUUUGGGGAAUUUAUUGUAAUUAAGUUUCAUUUGGGAGGGGAACUCCUCAUUUUGAGUCCUCAGUUAUUUGUGUAUAUCAGCUAUGAUGAUUAACUGUUGGGUUGAUAUCUCUGGCCAGAGACUCCUUAGUUUCCUUUUGUGGUUCUUUUGUUGGUUGAUUUAUUAUUGAUCUAAAUCCAUACUUGUCAGUUUAUUAAUUCAUUACAGUUUGUUUCCUUAUGUUACGGGAGAUUGUUUGUUUUCUUUCUUUUUUAUCCUUGAGCCUUGACUCUGUCUCUCCUUUUUCCCUACAGCUGAAGGCCGACGGUGGUGGUGGUGGUUUCCCUGGGUGGUGGGGAUCCCCUGUGUGCUGUGUGACCCCUGUUCGAGAUUUGCUUUGUGUACACUUCACGUUUUUGUUGGGGUGUUCUCCCUUUUCUUUUGGACUUCACUCCCCCUUGUCACCCCCUCCUCCAGCCGGUAAGCCUCAGUCUGUGUCCCCUUCCUUUAGUUGGGCUCUCUUCUCCUUUUUGGUUAUUGUGCCAAACCCCGUUGUUUUAAUAAAUAAAAUAUUUUUUUUAUGAUCAUUGAACUCCGUCUCCUCCUCUGGUGAUAGUUCACCUUUAAUAUGGGUCCUUGGGCCCUACCCCAAGGUGGCGUUGUCGGUAAAGAGAUCCUCUACUAUAUAAAUUAAUAAUCAUUCCCUCGUGUUGCCACAUGAGGAAUUGAUGUAUGUCAGAAGCAUUUGGGUUGUGAGAGGAUGUGUAUAAAUCUUGAUUCUUAAAUACAGUGUUUAUCUUUUGGAUUAUGGUAUGGCUUCCCUGCUGAGUCUUUAAUUACUGUUAUAGUUGUUCUAUCUUUAUUUUGUUUAACCAUAUUUGCCGGAUAUGUGGUUGAUUUAUUACUGUUUUGAGAUGUAUUAAGUCUGAGUCUUUCAAUAAGAAACUUCUUUUUUUUAUUUAACAGAUUGUUCAGUUCUAUUUUGUAUUUCUGUAGUUCGCAAAAAAUGUUAUCAGUAGGAUUGGUUACAUGAGCGUUUUCAAGUUCUUUAAUUUUCUUUUCCAUUUCCAGUUGUGACUUUGUGUCUUUUCGUUUUUUGUAUGAUGAGUAUGAAAUUAUUUUACCUCUUAAAACAGCUUUCCCGGUUUGCCAGAGUAGAGUUGGCGAGGUAUUUGGAGAGUCAUUCAUUUCCAUAAAGAAUGUCCACUGUCUCUUAAAAUAACUGUCAAAUUCUUGAUCCUCUAGCAGUGAUGUGUUGAACCUCCAUCUGGAAGAAGUACUGAAAGUUGUCUUUGUGUGCAGUUUAACCGAGACUAGUGCGGGAUCACUGAUUGUGUUUGGAUGGAUUUGUGUUUCAAAUAUGUCAGAAUGUAAUGAGUUGCUAGUGAGAAAAGUCAAUUCUAGAGUUUGUAUGGUGUACUUUUGAAAAAUGGGUGUAUUCUCUGUCAUUAGGAUGAUUUAGCCUCCAGUUAUCACCACGACCACAAUCCUCCAUAUACUGUUUUAAAACGAUAGUAGAUUUAAGUGUUCUGAUAUUUCCUGUUGUGUUUGAUUUAUCUAUUGUUGGAUCAAGUAUUGUAUUGAAAUCUCCACCUAUGAUUAAGUCUGAGCUGGGUAGGUUUUUAAGGAUAGAGAAAAGACUGAAAGAAAGAGGGGUCAUCAUUAUUAGGGCCAUAAAGAUUAACUAUUGUGAGAGGGUUGCUAUCAGUGGAUAUGUUAAUAAUAAUAUAUCGUCCUUCCGGAUCUGAAAUUGUGUUAUUGUGAUUGAAUUUAACUUUGUUAUUAAUCAUAAUUGCAACCCCUCUUUGUCCUGAAUUGUAAUUUGAAGUAAAGAUAUGAGGAAAAUGUGUAGAUUUCAGAACAGUGUUUCUAAUAUCAGUUAAAUGAGUUUCUGGCAAUAGACAAAUGUCAGCUUGUAUUUUGAGCAAAUGAUUAAUGACUUUUAGUUGUUUUGCCUCACUCCCAAUUCCACAUAUGUUCCAGCUUACAAAUUUAAUUGUGGACAUGAUUCAAUAAACAGAAA